CCUACGGGAGGCAGCAGUGAGGAAUAUUGGUCAAUGGGCUGAAGCCUGAACCAGCCAAGUAGCGUGCAGGAUGACGGCCCUACGGGUUGUAAACUGCUUUUAUCCGGGAAUAACGCGCCUUACGUGUAGGGCUUUGCAUGUACCGUAUGAAUAAGGACUGGCUAAUUCCGUGCCAGCCGCCGCGGUAAUACGGAAGGUCCGGGCGUUAUCCGGAUUUAUUGGGUUUAAAGGGAGCGUAGGCCGCAUGUCAAGCGUGCUGUGAAAUGUGCGGGCUCAAACCGGGCCGUGCAGCGCGAACUGGCGUGCUUGAGUCCGCGGAAAGCAGGCGGAAUUCGUGGUGUAGCGGUGAAAUGCUUAGAUAUGACGAAGAACCCCGAUUGCGAAGGCAGCUUGCUGCAGCGGAACUGACGCUGAUGCUCGAAAGCGCGGGUAUCGAACAGGAUUAGAUACCCGUGUAGUC
rnacentral:rRNA from 1 species